UUGCACAACUUCCGGUCCUAACAAGGCUCUCUCUCCGGAUUCAAACCAACACAAUGGUGUCCUACACCUCUGACCAUACAAAGCCUCAAACGGUGCCAUACCGAUACUAGAAUGAAAACUGUUGUUGUAGGUAAACUCAAUCAACGGUAAACAUUCGACCCAAAUAACACCUUGCUCCAACACACAAGCUCUCAACAAAUCCUCCAAACUCUGAAUAGUCCUCUCCGUUUGCC
rnacentral:lncRNA from 1 species